UUAUGUGAGCAACUGCUGUCUAAAGGAUUACUUGUUGCCAGAAAAGUCCUGAAGAUUUAGGAUGUUAUCCAGUUAAGAAUUUGGAAGAUGAUUAUACAAUCUUAGAGCAUGUACCCUUUUGCUCCAGCUGAAUUACUUUCUUGAGAAAAAUCCAUAAGACAGAAAAGAAAAUUUCUUAAAGAGAAUGGAAAGUAACAACAGCUGGGUGUGAUCAUACCGUCAGGAAACAUCCUUGCUCCUGGCUGAUUCACAAAUUACCCCUGUCUUGCUUGCCAUUUCAAAUGGAGGGACAAGAAAUGAAUGGACAAGAAAAUUAAAGGGGCUGCAGGCAUGCACACAGCCUGCUUAUAAAGCAGUGGAGCAUCAGCUGGUGUAGAGAUGCCGGGCAGCCCAUGGGAGCCGGAAGCCUGUAGCCUUCUUCAAUGGACAGAAUGACCUAAAU